GAGGGAGUGGGUGGGCAGCUGCUGUUAGCUUCAAGCUGAAUUUGCGGCUGGCCAUUUCCCCGUGUUCAUGACCUGCAGCCCUGCAUUGUGUUGAGCACUGUUGGCACAGAAGAGACAUAGCCACAGAGAUGCAGAAAGUGGUAGUCACCUUUCUUAAACCAUCCCAUCCCAUCCUAUCCCAUCCCAUGCUGAUCCUGCCUCUUCCUGCAAGCCCCCAUGGAAGGGAUUUCAGAGCAUCCCUUAGCACCUGCUCCGCAGUCCUGCUGCUCUCAGUUAGGAAGCAAAUUACCCUCAAAUCUAAUCAGACACAGGAAAGAGCAUGUGGCGCUCUGGCUCAGCUGGACUCAUCUCCUUGCGUUCCUUUUCAGAAGUAAUGGCGCCAGGAUUGCCAGCACGUCCCACGCAAAUGCGUGACAGGGAAGUAACUGAAGAACUGCCUCUAGCAGCUGCCAAGUCCUCCGUGCCGCACAGCCUGCAUUCGCCCUCUCUGCCGGGAGCUCUGCCCACGCUCUGCAGACGACAGCUCAGCCCUGUGCUGGCUCAGGUUGGGGGAGAUGGACUUUGAGCCUUGAACCCACUCUUUGACCUGCGGGGCCAUGGGGCCUCCACGCCACGUCCCUGCCUCGCUGCGUUUCUUCAACCAUCUCGUCGCUUUUCUUCCCUGGGCCUCACCUGAGGACUUCUAUAGUCAGUGGCUGAACUUGAACCUCUGCCCUUUUACCUUCCAGAAGUAACGGCCUAGGUUAGUGGAUAGUGCAUGGGGAACUGGGGCUUUCUUUGCCCUUAGCUGUAAGGUGAAGUUCAUGUGGCCCCUUGAGAAUCAAUACGUAGGUGAGACCCCCCUGGUAGCCUGGUUAUUGCCAAUCCCAAAAGAGAUGCCCGACUGAAAGGGAGCAUGAGCUGGCGGGCUUGCAGUCAGGAUGUGUCCCAAGCUGGCUGUAUGGCUUUGGGCAGGAGAUGUACAGCCCCCUCUGCAAAGUGGUCAUUAGAAAACACUUACCUACCUGGCAGCCACAUUGGGAGGCUUCGCUGGCUCGCAUUUCUAAAGUGCUUUGAGAUCCCCAGGGGAAGGACUGCUGUCAAAUGCAGAGUGAAAUAAACCACUUUACUCUUCUGCC